CCUACGGGAGGCAGCAGUGGGGAAUAUUGGGCAAUGGAGGAGACUCUGACCCAGCGACGCCGCGUGCGAGAUGAAGGCCUUCGGGUUGUAAACCGCUUUCAGCAGGGAAGAAGCGAAAGUGACGGUACCUACAGAAGAAGCACCGGCUAACUAUGUGCCAGCAGCCGCGGUAAUACAUAGGGUGCAAGCGUUGUCCGGAAUUAUUGGGCGUAAAGAGCUCGUAGGUGGUUCGUCACGUCGGAUGUGAAAAUCUGGGGCUCAACCCCAGACCUGCAUUCGAUACGGGCGAUCUAGAGUGUGGUAGGGGAGACUGGAAUUCCUGGUGUAGCGGUGGAAUGCGCAGAUAUCAGGAGGAACACCAAUGGCGAAGGCAGGUCUCUGGGCCAUUACUGACACUGAGGAGCGAAAGCGUGGGGAGCGAACAGGAUUAGAUACCCUGGUAGUCCACGCCGUAAACGGUGGGCACUAGUUGUGGGAACCUUCCACGGUUUCUGCGACGCAGCUACGACAUAAGUAGCCCGCCGUCGGGAGGUACGAGUCGCGAAGUAAGUUAAACUAACUUAAAGUUAAGUAAGUUAGUUACGGACGUUGAGACGUGCCGACGGACGACGACGAGGGAGGAGG
rnacentral:rRNA from 1 species